rnacentral:rRNA from 1 species
UACGUAGGGUGCGAGCGUUGUCCGGAAUUACUGGGCGUAAAGAGCUCGUAGGUGGUUUGUCGCGUUGUUCGUGAAAACUCACAGCUCAACUGUGGGCGUGCGGGCGAUACGGGCAGACUGGAGUACUGCAGGGGAGACUGGAAUUCCUGGCGUAGCGGUGGAAUGCGCAGAUAUCAGGAGGAACACCGGUGGCGAAGACGGGUCUCUGGGCAGUAACUGACGCUGAGGAGCGAAAGCGUGGGGAGCGAACAGG